rnacentral:rRNA from 1 species
CAUUACAAGUGAGGCUACCGAACGCUGGAAACAGCAGUUAGGAGCUUACACCCACCCGUGUUUACAUACUAUUGUUGCUUUGGCGGGCCGUGGCCUCCACUGCGGGCUCUGCUCGUGUGUGCCCGCCAGAGGACCAAAUUCUGAAUGUUAGUGAUGUCUGAGUACUAUCUAAUAGUUAAAACUUUCAACAACGGAUCUCUUGGUUCUGGCAUCGAUGAAGAACGCAGCGAAAUGCGAUAAGUAAUGUGAAUUGCAGAAUUCAGUGAAUCAUCGAAUCUUUGAACGCACAUUGCGCCCUGUGGUAUUCCGCAGGGCAUGCCUGUUCGAGCGUCAUUUAACCACUCAAGCCUAGCUUGGUAUUAGGGCACGCGGUUUCGCAGCCCUCAAAAUCAGUGGCGGCGCCGGUGGGCUCUAAGCGUAGUACAUACUCCCGCUAUAGAGUUUCCCCGGUAGCUCGCCAGAACUCCCAAUUUUUACAGGUUGACCUCGGAUCAGGUAGGGAUACCCGCUGAACUUAAGCAUAUCAAUAAGCGGAGGAAAAGAAACCAACAGGGAUUACCUCAGUAACGGCGAGUGAAGCGGUAACAGCUCAAAUUUGAAAGCUGCCAACAGGCCGCGUUGUAAUUUGUAGAAGCUGCUUUGGGUAUCGGCCCGGUCUAAGUUCCUUGGAACAGGACGUCAUAGAGGGUGAGAAUCCCGUAUGUGAUCGGUGCCGUUGCCCGUGUAAAGCGCUUUCGACGAGUCGAGUUGUUUGGGAAUGCAGCUCAAAAUGGGUGGUAAAUUUCAUCUAAAGCUAAAUAUUGGCCAGAGACCGAUAGCGCACAAGUAGAGUGAUCGAAAGAUGAAAAGCACUUUGGAAAGAGAGUUAAACAGUACGUGAAAUUGUUGAAAGGGAAGCGCUUGCAACCAGACUUGCGGGCGGUCGAUCAUCCGAGGUUCUCCCCGGUGCACUCGAUCGUUCUCAGGCCAGCAUCGGUUUCCGGGGUGGGAUAAAGGCGGUGGGAAUGUGGCUCUUCGGAGUGUUAUAGCCCAUCGUGCAAUGCCGCCACCGGGGACCGAGGACCGCGCUUCGGCUAGGA